AUUUGUUUGUAACAAAAAUCGCAUAAAUCUGCUUAAAAUCGUCGAGUAAAAUUCAAUGUCUGGAGCAAAAUUAGUUAUAUCCAAAUAAAGUCUGUGUGUAAUUUGUUGGAAUUUUUAGUUCGUUCGUUACUGUUGUGAGGUGAAGUAGGUACAUACGGUAAUGAGAAAUUGAGAAACCUCUCCUCGUGCAGUUUAUUUCAUUAUCGCAGACCGGUUGUGAUUAUUAUUAUUAUUAUUAAAUCUAGACAAUUUGCAGAGGAAUUAGGUUCCACUUAUGCAAAUUUUGCUAUAUUAUAAAAUCAUCGUAUUUAAUUGGAAUCAAGGAAUUGAUCGUGACUAAUUCUAAAAAUUUGGAUGAGGUCUGCCCUGUUCAGUCUAUCGGUCACAGUAGGCAAGUUUAAACUUUUAAGUUUGCGAUCGUAUGACAAAGCCGACAAACUUAGAUUCCACCUUGUUGCUGCGUGCUGCAACCUCUCAAAGAGCACGAGGUCCCCUUUAUGGAGUGGCCGCCAAACGGUUACGGAAAAUUCAAUGUGUGGUCUGAUGUAGGUGCAGUAUAAAUGUCUCAACAUUUUAGGAUCGGGAUUGGGAAAUAUUCUUUUAUAGAGAACUAGUAGCUUUUCGGUAGGCAAUAUUAGUUUGAGCGGUCCAGCGCAUGUCGUUGGUAACUGUGAUGCCUAAAUCUUUUUGGCUAGUCACCUCUGGUAGAACGGCAUCUUUUAUCUUAUAGCAAUAUUUGCUUGACUGACCCGAAAUUUCAGGUAACAAUGGACAUUGCUGAGCUACCGAAAUUGGAAAUUUUAAACCGGCAAAUUACGUAAGUGUAAUUACACAGUAGCUAAUUAAAUGUGUUGCAGGGGAGCGCGCUUAAUUGAGGUAAAUUUUAGGACCAAUUACAGAUUUUUAUGUUUAUCGCAAUCCGCAGACCGCAUAAUUAAUUGAAGAAAUUUUUCUUUUGGACCUUCUAAUCCGAAUAUACUGGGCUGGCUGGGAAACCGUCGGUUCCUCCAUGAAAUGACCGAAUUUUAUAAAAGGUAAAGUCGUUGUUUAGAGGAGAGCUUGCAUUUAUUUUCCCGUAGUUACCGCUACCUACUUACUUUGUGCUUUGUUGCUUGCAUUCCCGUUAUGGCAAUCGCUACCGUGUCCGUGUGAGGUAAUUCUGUUUCAGUUGCUUCCCUGAACGUAACCACCCGCCGAAAUCUGGACUAAGCCAUUUCUUUACGUGACUGCCUUUGGCUACCGAUUGUGCCAAUCCUCCGAGACCGUUCCGAAACCGCCGACCAGAAGCAAGACUUUAAUCUUCUGGUGGCGCUCGAGUUUGCCCGUCCGUCCAUUCCGCCAUCACAUCAAAGUUGCCGCCGACUGCCAGUACUUUGGCCCGCUGGUGUGUUUUAGUUCGACUCAUUUGUAAAUGUAUAUAUUUUUCUUUUAAUUAAAUUUAAAUUUUGAUACCGCUA